rnacentral:lncRNA from 1 species
GCGAAUUCGGAGUCCCGGUUCCCUGUGCCACCUGGCGAGCUCAGCAAACUAAAAGUCUCUUUGUCUUCAUCGUUUCCGGCACUGAUGUGAGCACAUCAUAAGCACAAGACCUGGACACCUUUACAAUCAGAGGUAGCAUCUGUCUGGAACUGUAUCUUGACUCUCACUGGUGCUUUUCCUUUGGUUGAUGCAAAGCUUUUGAAUCCUUUAGGGAGAUGUCAUUGGCCUAGGACUGGAGCUCUGGAUCUGACCGGAGCAAAGAGGAAGCACGCAAAUCCGGACAUGACGACGAGGAGGCAGUAGAGACCCAUCCUCAACUACCCCCUGAGUGCCGAUCCCACCUGUGAAAGGGGAGGAGCAGAUCUGGGGAAGGGAUAUGCCCAGAGGAAAUCAACAAGACCAAAGAGACGUCAGAGUCCUGAUGGCCAAAAUCAGACACCAGCUUUCCUGAGAAGGCAGAAGAGAGAGCCCCAUAGAAGCAGUGGGGGCUCAGAAGGUUCAGUGGGUUCACAGGGGAGCAGAGGCUCCUGAGGGCUUACUCAGACAGGAAGCAGCCCCCCAAAACAUACUUCCCCUUCUCCUCCCACAGAAACAGAACAGAUAAAGUUCAGAAUUCUAGGCCCAAAAGGGUGCAACACCCUUCAACCAGUUUCAGUGAAGAGCUUGCUGGCCUGGGAAGUAAAGAAGGGGUUUCCAAAUACAGCAGUUUAUAAAACAGUCCUGGUGAGCUAUGAAGUGAAAGAGGGGGAGUCACAGAGCUGCUCCCAGUUCACCUGCUUGUGCUAAGAAACAAUAAAAUACAAAUUGCUUCCCCACCCCAACCCUCAGUACAAAGCAAACUUCACACCAGAGCCACCAUCAGUGACAGGCCCAGUGGCGGUGGAUGAGGAAGAGAAUACAAAAGGGAACGUCUUUAAAAUCUCUUCAAAAUCAUUUUGUAUAGAGAAGUAAAAGCAACUCAGGCGAUAUGAAUUCAAACCUCAGUGUAGAAAUCUAUCAAAGUCGGUACAGUGUCCAGGCACGCCGUCCCGGAGACGGAGGAAGUGACUAGAAAACAUUAUUGCUGGAGAGGCUUUUCUCAGUAGAACAAGAGCAGGUAUAAAAGGGGAGGGCGGGUCUAAAAGGCAGGGGCAGUCGCCAGGCCUAGGGCACUGGAAGGGUAGGAGGAGCACAGAGAACCUUCCAUGGCCCCUUUGGUUCUCUGCCUUUGGAUGGAUGGAUUUAUGCUGGCAUUGUCUGGAGGGAGCCG